CCCAGCCGCAGUAUAAAAACAGCCAAGCUGGGCUAGAACCGAGCGGUGGGUACAGGCAUUGCCAGGAAGUGUCAGUGGCUGCACCUCAGCUAUGGCUGAUACUUUGCGAAGGCUGGUCAACACAACGACAUACAAGCUACUGCAGAAUAAGCUUGAAUCUUGGUACAGGGAAUAUCACAUCAACUCGUGUGAUCAGAACUUGAAUCGAUGCUGUGAGCUUAUUGAACUGACCUCAAAAGUGCAAAGUGAACUGUUCACCAUCCUCAGCCUCGCAGCAAGUGAAGGUGGUAUUUAUUCCGGCAUUGAUACCAUCAAAUCACGCUUUUUGCCAUGGCUUGGGUCUAACUUUACAGUUAUUACCUCAGGGGUGACCUCUGACACCAGCCUUUCUCUCAUGCAGGAAUCUGCUGAAAAAGAUCGGAGACUGAGGGAGCUGGCAACAGCCCAUGAUCAGGAAAUGCUCGACCUAGAGACUGAAUUAAAUACCACACGUCGCCAACUGGGGGCUGUCAAGCACGAGUUAGCAGAAGCUCAUCUGGAACUGGACAGUACGCAGAACAAAUCAGCUGUCACAUUCCAAAUGACGGAGGAUGAAAUCAGUAGAUUGAAAGCUGAACUGAGUGCAGUUCGAGAGCAGGUGAGAUAUUAUAAACAAAAGGUGGACAUCCUGGGUGAUUAUGACCACAAGAUCAGACAACUAAAGGAUGAAGUCUCCUUCCUCUCGGCAGAGAAAUCCAUACUACAGGAAAGGAUCCCAGGACGGCGUUCUCCGAUCUCUUUUCCAUCUGUGACCCGUUCCUCUCCAACUUACAGUAAACUGACUAAUGCUUCACGUCAAGUACGACUGAUAUCACACUUCAAUGACAUUUAUGCCAAUGAGCGUCUGAAUGCACAAAAUCUCCUGAGGCGUUAUGUUGAUGAUCUAGAGAUGGUACAGCGAAUAAUAUUCAUUGCAACAGCAGAGGCUUUUCAGGCAGCAAAAACAGCAUUCCGACAAUUCAAGCUGCGGGUACGGAAAAUGCUGUCACCAUCGCACCGUGGCCCAGAGUCGCUGGAUGACAACGUGAUGGAUUACAUCAUUCGCAAUCAGGAUCUCUAUGAUGUCCAGUGCAGCAUUGAUGAUGUGAUCCGUAGCAUUAGCGUCCAUCCAAAGAUCUCGAUGCCGCCCGAAGUUGACUUUAUAUUGAUCAGCAGUUUUAUCCGUGAAAUUUGCCGUGUAGCCUUUGCCAUGCAGACCCUGGAGCCCCCACUUGACAUAGCCUUCACGGCGGAUGGUGAACUCUUCAAUGAGAAUAAGUAUCGCCGCAGCUAUGACUCUGAUUUCACUGCACCCCUGGUGGUUUAUCACAUCUGGCCAGCUCUGGUAGAAAAUGACACUGUUGUUGCUAAGGGAGAAGCAUUCACAAAGAGGGGAGCUCUGUGGGCUCCCAGUAAAAGCCGAAGCAGGAGCUCUAGUCCAGUUCAUUCUCGUUCCACCAGUCCAGCCCGUGGCCUGUCAUCCCAGAGCCGAAGCCCCUCCCCCAUCAAGCGAAGCAUUAGUCCCAAAAGAAGAUGCUGUGCUUCAACAGGGCACUGAAGUACCAAAGUUGAAGAAUUAACUGUUUGAUAGACUUCUGGAUGCUUCCCAAAAAAGUGGUUUAAUUGAUAAAAAUGCUGCCUGACCUGCUGAGUUCUUCCAGCAUUUUGUUUUCUUAAUCUGGAAUUUUUUAAUCUGCUGACGUGGUGGAAUUAAAUUCCAUUGUAAUAUGGGAUUAAACUGAAGCAUGAAAAUAAGCAGUAUAUUUCAUUCGGAAUCAUCUCUCUGAAACAGUCUAAAAAGCCCCUUCCUGUGCUGCAAGCUUGUAUAAUUAUAAAAAUCAUUUGCUAUGGCCAAAACUACUAUAUACGGUUUCUGCAGUUGCUGUAAUCACAGUACAUUGAUAAACAUUCAAAGAAUUUAGCUGAAUGAUUGAAGCAAAAUGCAAGCCUGAUUCUAGGGAUAAUGUUCUUUCAAAGUCUUGAAUAAAACAACAAAUUAAUCUCAAUCCUUGUAAACUGAUGCUGCAAAUCCAAAUAUUUAGCUGGUCAGACAACAUCUGUGAAGAGAUGAUGGCACUGUAAAGUUAACAUUUCAAACCGAUGAUGACUUGUCAGCAUUCCGUAAAUCAUUGCCCUGAAAUCUUAACCCUCUAUUCUCCUCUCCAUAGUUGAUGUGUCCCCUUUAGAGAUUCUGUCACCAUUAAACAAACCCUUGCUGUACUGCUGAAAUCUGGGAGUUUAGUACCUGGAUAUCGUGCUGAAUGUAACUCAUGGGUGAAAAAUAGUUUAAUUGACUGUAAUCUGAUUUGUUUUAAAUUGAUCAAAAUUAUUUUGAUAGUUUAAUUGAUUUUUAACUGCACGUCUUGUUUGCUAAUUUGUUUUCCAUAAUAUCUUACCUAUACAAUAUUGAGGAAAAAAUUCUCACGAUAGAAGUAAAGGGAGAGGUAUGAAACCUUACCUUUUAAAAUUAUCCUUAGUCCAGCAUAAUUGGAAAAGGCUUCUCAUCCUUGUGUAAUUUGGGUAUGUGAUUGCAAUGUAUAUCAAUAGAAUUCGUCAGAUGAUUCUGAUAUGAAAUUGGCCAAUGAAUUGGAAUAAAAAGCACAGUUACUACAGCUAUUCUACAGCCAUAUUAACUAUUUUCUUAAUUUUUUUCUAUAACAUCCUGCAAUGAUUUCCAGCUUUUCCUGCAGGUUACGUAUUGAAUUUUCUGCCAUUAUCUCAUGAGUACUUUGCCCAGAUUUUAUUAGUUUUUUAUUUGGUAUUUUUCUAGUUCUGUAUUACUUCAGUAGAAUCCUCACCACACAGAGGAAAACAAUAAUAGCCUGGAGUUGUGGUGCCACGUGGCUCAGAAAUGGGCCCCUCAGCCCAUUCUAAUCUUCUUGCCCUUCAUUGCUAAGUCCAUGCUGCAUGUAAUGUAUGCAUCAUUUCAGAAAACUGUCACUGUAGAACAUUAGGAUUGUUGACACUUCGAGCCUCCACUGUGAUUAAAGUGUGUAUCUGAGAGUGCAUGAUAAGACUGGGGGGGGGGGAGCACUUUCAUGUGUUGCAUCGAUAUAUUUACUACUUUCAAAGCUUCUUCUUUAUCCAGCACACAGGCACUUUCUGUCACAAUCAUUGAAGGUCAAUGUAAAUGAACAACAGCAAACAGAAUUCCUACUGUAAUUUAUGACUAGUUAGUAGAUACAGAGAAGCCCCUGGCAAACUGUUCAAAAUAAGGGAAGAAAUCACACCACCAAGUUUAGACCAUAAGACAUAGGAGCAGAAUUGGGCCACUCAGCCCAUCAAGUCUUCUCUGCCACUCCAUUUAUUAUCCCUCUCGAGAGGUUUCAGUGAUACCCCCUCUCAUUCUUCUAAGCUCCAGUGAAUGAAAGCUCAGAGUAAUCAAACACUCCUCAUACAUUCCUGGAAUUAUUCUCGUGAACCACCUCUGGACUUUCUCUGGUGACAGCACAUCUUUUCUUAGAGAAGGGACCCAAAACUGCUCACAAUUCUCUAGGUGUGGUAUGACCAAUGUGUUACCAAUUCUCAGUAUCACAUCCUUGCCCUUGUAUUCUCAUCCUCUGGAAAUGAUGCUAACACUACAUUUGCCUUCCUUACCACUGACUUAACCUGCAAGUUAACCUUUUGGAAUUCAUGCGCAAAGACUCCCAAGUCCCUUUGAAUCUCUGAUUUUUCUCUGUUUAGAAAAUAGUCUACACCUUUUAUUCCUUCUACUGAAGUGCAUGACCAUACACUUUCCGAUACUAUAUUGCAUCUGCCACUACUUUGCCUAUUCUUCCAAUAUGUCUGUCUUUCUGCAGACUUCUGGUUUCUUCAAUACUAUUUGCCCCUCCACUUACUGUUGUAUCAUCUGCAAGCUAGGCUACAAAGUUAUCAAUUCUGUUAUCCAAAUAGUUGCAUAUAAGUGAAAAGAAGUGGUGCCAAUACCAACCCCUGAAGAAUUCCACAAGUGACUGGCUAUCAGAAAAGGCCUCCUUUAUUCCGGCUCUUUGUCUCCUGCCUGUCAACCAGCCUUCCAUCUUUCCUGUCAUACCAUGGGCUCUAGCUUGUUAAGCAGCCUCAUGUGUGGCAUUUUGUCAAAGGCCUUCUGAAAAUCAAGCUGAACGACUCUCCUUUGUCUAUCCUACCUGUUAUUUCCUCAAAGAAUUCCAACAGAUUUGUCAGUCAAGAUGUCCCCUUAAGCAAACCAUCCUGAAUUUGGCCUUUUUUUUAAUGUUCCUCCAGGCACACUGAAACCUCAUCCUUAAUAAUGGACUCCAACAAUUUCCCAACCACUGAAGUUAGGACAGAGACACAUUUCUAUGGUGAGCGAGAAAGAAGUUUUUUUAAAAAAAACUAAAUGUCUGUAAUCUGAAUUAAAAGCAAGUAGUGUUGAGGAAACAAGAACUCGGCAGGCAGGCAAUGUGUGAAAUGGCAGUUAAUUUUCCAUAUUGAAGAACCUCUAUGAGAACGUUUCCAGCAUUUUCUGUUUUCAUUGCCAGCAGGAAAGAGCUACAGCUUACGGUAAACUUGUGCUCACAGCUGACAUGAAGUGCUUGAUGUGAGAAAGCAUCCAUUUUGCUCUAACCUUCUUUAUCUUGAACAGCACAAACUUUUAAAAGGAAAAAGACAACAGAAAACAAAACCUUAAGCUUUCAGAGGAAGUAAGGUACAUCAGUUUUAUUGUUCAUACCACUGCAACUGCAUGGAAAAAGAAAGAUUUGCUUUGCAUUUGUUCUGUUAUGUUCAUUUGCUUAGACAUCUAGUAGCCAAAGAGUCUGCAAGAGCAGCAGAGUUCAGCUGUAGUUGUGGCAUCACACAUCACACAGAUCAGAUACUUGAAGGCUUGUACUAGGCCUGGAAAUUUUUCUAUCUGUUGUCUUUGACAAUUCCAGACUCUGAAACUGUGGUAAACUAUGUGUAUACCUGACUGGACACGCCCCUUUGCUGACUGCUCCUGUGGCUCCUCCCACAGACCCCUGUAUAAAGGCGAUUGGAGGCACUGCUCCUCCCUCAGUCUCCAAGAUGUCGUGGUCAUGUUUGCAGCUAAUAAAAGCCUAUUUUUUGCCUCCCGUCUCCGAGAGUUAUUGAUGGUGCAUCAAUUUUAUUAGCUGCAAUUUUAAACCAUGGAGAGCAUUUUACGACCGGACAUGAAAAGCACCCCUGAAAUCGCUGCCCGGCCCGAAAAGCUAUCUGCUCCAGCUGCGGAAAGAAGGGCCACUUCGCCAAGGCCUGUAAGUUUAAACCACGAGCAG